rnacentral:rRNA from 1 species
GAUGAACGCUGGCGGCGUGCCUAAUACAUGCAAGUCGAGCGGACGGACGAGAAGCUUGCUUCUCUGAUGUUAGCGGCGGACGGGUGAGUAACACGUGGAUAACCUACCUAUAAGACUGGGAUAACUUCGGGAAACCGGAGCUAAUACCGGAUGAUAUUUUGAACCGCAUGGUUCAAAAGUGAAAGACGGUCUUGCUGUCACUUAUAGAUGGAUCCGCGCUGCAUUAGCUAGUUGGUAAGGUAACGGCUUACCAAGGCAACGAUGCAUAGCCGACCUGAGAGGGUGAUCGGCCACACUGGAACUGAGACACGGUCCAGACUCCUACGGGAGGCAGCAGUAGGGAAUCUUCCGCAAUGGGCGAAAGCCUGACGGAGCAACGCCGCGUGAGUGAUGAAGGUCUUCGGAUCGUAAAACUCUGUUAUUAGGGAAGAACAUAUGUGUAAGUAACUGUGCACAUCUUGACGGUACCUAAUCAGAAAGCCACGGCUAACUACGUG